rnacentral:misc_RNA from 1 species
ACAAACUUGGUCAUUUAGAGGAAGUAAAAGUCGUAACAAGGUCUCCGUUGGUGAACCAGCGGAGGGAUCAUUAUAGAGUUACAAACUCCAAACCACUGUGAACAUACCUAUGUUGCUUCGGCGGGUUCCCGGUCGUCCGCGGCCGCCCCGCCGGAGGUAUCAAACUCUGAUUUCUAGCGAAUCUUCUGAGUCUUAUAAUAAGCAAUCAAAACUUUCAGCAACGGAUCUCUUGGCUCUGGCAUCGAUGAAGAACGCAGC